AUAUAUCUUAAAAAACUAAUAAAAUGUUUUCAAAAAAUAAAAACAUUAAUAAAAAACUAAAAUUAAUUAAUCACAUCUCUUACUAAUUAAAAAAAAAAUUAAUCACAUCUCUUUCUCUUUUACUCUCUCUGUCUCCUGCUACCUCUUUCUCUCUCUCAAAAUAUCUCAAAGUCUCAACCCUAAAAUGGAAGAGACGAUCUGUACCAAUGGGUAUGAAGACCAUGAAUGGUCAUUUCUCUAUCUGUUGUUGUUGAGGGUGGGCAACAGCGUUUGGUGUGGGGGUUCGCCGAUGGCUGGAGACGAGAAGAUCGACAUCGACGGUGCCGACUUUGACGGAAUCGGCAUCGACAGGAUUAUGGUUUCGACAGGACCUAAUGGCUAAGAAGAUCGAAGCCCUAAUUUUUUGUUGAAGCCUAGAUCUUCGUCUUAGUCCAACACCACCGCUUCUUCAUCUCGUCGAAGGCUAGAUCUUCGUGUCAAUCCACCGGCAUCUUCUUAUUUUUUGUGAUGUUUUUUUAACAUGGGACUAAUGUGUGGGGCUUCUGCUGUGUUUUUGACAUGUACAACAAAAGGUAAUAGAGCUGUAACAUUCAUUGAUCUGAGAUUGCAUAUAUAAAUAAUUAGUUACAAUGUGAAAAUCUCUAAAUAGUAUAUAAGAGUGAUAUACCUGAGUUUGUCAAGUGGGAUAGCACCCAAUUCGACUUUGCAUACUGGACGGGAAUUGCACCCUUCCUCUGUUAUAAUUCUCAAGAGUUUAGAAUAAAUCAAAAGCCAUACAACCAAGGCCGGCCCUGAAAAUAUAUGGGCCCAAGACAAAUUAAAUUUUGGGGCCCUCAAAAAUAUAUAAAAAAAAAUUAAAAGAAGAGUGUUAUGGGAUUUGAACCCAUGACCUUAGACUUUAUGCCAUCCACCUCAACCAACUAAGCUAUAAAUAUUUAUUGUUUAUAAUA